UCCUUUCCCUGUUUUGUUUCCCUCCUCCCCUCCUAAUCCUCCUCUCUCCAUCUCAGCCCCAGCCCCUCGCCGUAGUCGUUCGUCGCUGCCCCUCGCCCAUCGCCGCACACCGUCACAGCCCUUCGCCCGCCGCCGUUGCAGCCCCUCGCCGUCGCCGUCGCCGUCGCAAACCUCUGUCUAAAUGAUUAUGCCCCGCGGCCCCUCCCUGUCAUCAUCUUCACAGUGGACCAGAAGUCUGAACCCCUUAUGAUUUUCAACUGUAAGUUGGUGAAUCAAUGGGGGUUGGUGGCUCUCUCAUGCUGGUGGAAUGGUGACCGAGGGAGUUUUUUUGGGAAUGGGCAAUCCCCUCCUCGACAUUUCUGUGGUUGUGGACCAGCAGUUCUUGGACAGGGUUUGCGGUUGACAUAACAUCAGCACGAUGUUAUGCACUACAGUCGGAUGCAACUUUUGAUUUUUUUUUUGUAUUUUUCUUAUUAUUUGAACAGAUGAAAUUUCUGUAUUUCAAUUUGAAUUUGUAUAAUGUAUUUGUAUUUGAAUUUGAAUUUGAUUUUUUUUGUUAGUUGAACAGAGGGAAUUUUUGUAUUUUAAUUUGAAUUAGAAUUUUGAAUAAUUUAUGAAUUUUUUAGUAA